rnacentral:rRNA from 1 species
GAUGAACGCUGGCGGCGUGCCUAAUACAUGCCAGUCGAGCGAACGGACGAGAAGCUUGCUUCUCUGAUGUUAGCGGCGGACGGGUGAGUAACACGUGGAUAACCUACCUAUAAGACUGGGAUAACUUCGGGAAACCGGAGCUAAUACCGGAUAAUAUUUUGAACCGCAUGGUUCAAAAGUGAAAGACGGUCUUGCUGUCACUUAUAGAUGGAUCCGCGCUGCAUUAGCUAGUUGGUAAGGUAACGGCUUACCAAGGCAACGAUGCAUAGCCGACCUGAGAGGGUGAUCGGCCACACUGGAACUGAGAGACGGUCCAGACUCCUACGGGAAGCAGCAGUAGGGAAUCUUCCGAAAUGGGCGAAAGCCUGACGAAGCAACGCCGCGUAAGUGAUGAAGGUCUUCGGAUCGUAAAACUCUGUUAUUAGGGAAGAACAUAUGUGUAAGUAACUGUGCACAUCUUGACGGUACCUAAUCAGAAAGCCACGGCUAACUACGUG